UGUUUAAAAUUUAAUUUAUUUUUACUAUUAAAAAUUGGUGUGGCUGAUGAUAUAAUCAGACAAUCACAUGUUGUAUGACACAUAGGGACGAAUUUUAAAAAUAAAAAUGGACGAAAUUUUUAAUA
rnacentral:pre_miRNA from 1 species